UACGAAGGGGGCUAGCGUUGUUCGGAUUUACUGGGCGUAAAGCGCACGUAGGCGGGUCUUUAAGUCAGAGGUGAAAGCCCAGGGCUCAACCCUGGAAUUGCCUUUGAUACUGGCUAUCUUGAGUGUGGGAGAGGUUAGCGGAACUCCGAGUGUAGAGGUGAAAUUCGUAGAUAUUCGGAAGAACACCAGUGGCGAAGGCGGCUAACUGGCCCAUUACUGACGCUGAGGCUCGAAAGCGUGGGGAGCAAACAGG
rnacentral:rRNA from 1 species